GACGAACGCUGGCGGCGUGCUUAACACAUGCAAGUCGAACGGAAAGGCCUCUUUCGGGGGGUACUCGAGUGGCGAACGGGUGAGUAACACGUGAGUAACCUGCCCUUGACUUUGGGAUAACUUCAGGAAACUGGGGCUAAUACCGGAUAGGAGCUCCUGCGGCAUGGUGGGGGUUGGAAAGUUUCGGCGGUGGGGGAUGGACUCGCGGCUUAUCAGCUUGUUGGUGGGGUAGUGGCUUACCAAGGCUUUGACGGGUAGCCGGCCUGAGAGGGUGACCGGCCACAUUGGGACUGAGAUACGGCCCAGACUCCUACGGGAGGCAGCAGUGGGGAAUAUUGCACAAUGGGUGGAAGCCUGAUGCAGCAACGCCGUGUGCGGGAUGACGGCCUUCGGGUUGUAAACCGCUUUCGCUCAUGACGAAGCUUUGUGUGACGGUAGUGGGUAAAGAAGCACCGGCUAACUACGUG
rnacentral:rRNA from 1 species